GAAGCUCUUCGCGCCGCAGGCUGGUACAGGAGAGGAACCGCGUCAUGGCUGGUCGCUCCGCGGGAGCCGCCCAUCGCGCGUGGAAGCGCAUCCAUGUCGAGGCCGAAGGCCAUGGCUGCUUGGAGCGCCGCACUAUAUGAACAGCGUCCAAAGUAAUUUAGAGGUAUGAACAUGACGAACUGAAGAAAUACCAUGUGGGUGCUUCCGUUUCUUGGUUUGGAUUUUCAAUCCAUCGAUCGUGGGUGCCAAUUCUCAUGUUCCUUCUUUCUAUCUGUUCGUCUUUUUCUCUGCCGAUGUCUCGCCGAGUGCCAUCGAGGGCCACGCCUUGAGUUCGAGGUCGCGAGGAUGCGAGCCGACGCUGCGCGUACAGGCGCAGACGGCAGACGCGAGCGCCACCGCGACUGAUGUCGCCAUCCGCGUCGGGGUUUGCUGCUUCACCGCAAAACGCCGGAUAGCGCCGGUGCAGCCCACGGCCGAGAGUCGCGCGAGCGCCGCUGCGCUGCCCGUCUUUUCCUAUCGUUGGCCUAAUUGCUCUCGGUUAGGGCAAAGUGCUGAUAACGUGUGAAAGUAAAACGAGAGAGAGGAGCAAAUGAUGGAACAGUUACUUUCAUUGAUGAAGUUUGGGGUAUAUAUACCGGGAUACAAAGGCAGUUACAAAGAGCGGUUGCCAAUAGUGGAACUGACAUAAGCAGGGAUUAACCCUUUAAUUAAACUAAUUAAUUAAUUCGUAACAGUCUCGAUGGAUCCGGAGGCCAACGUGGAGGAGACGGCGCGAACCGAAGUCGGCACGCCAAUGUAAGAAAUCAACUCUGCUUCUCAAGCUUGACAUCAAAAAGGCGUCCGGCUCCAUGAGAUGAGACUACAUGCUUGAUAUUUUGCAGGGCCGGGGCUUUCCCUCGAAGUUCAGGGACUAGAUUGAUGUUCUCCUAUCUAUUGCAUCCUCUAGGGUAAUGCUUAAUGUCGUUAAUGACAUUCAUUAGCACCCAUUAGGCAUAAAUAAAACUUUUACGGUGAUUUUUCUUGGACCAGUAGACACCCAGAAGACUUGGGGAGAGGGCCAGAAGGUUCCCGAGGAGGCCACAAGCCUCUAGGGCGCGCCCUGAGGGCUUGUGGGCCUCAAGGGGGUCUCCUAACCCUAACUCCGCCUCUAUAAAUCCUAAAAUAUUCCCAAGCCAUUAGAAGCGUCCACCAAAAUACUUUUCCGCCACCGCAAUCUUCUGUUCUCGAGAGAUCCUAUCUUGGGGCCGUUUCCGGCGAUCUGCCGGAGGGGGAUUCGAUCACGGAGGGCUUCUACAUCAACCUUGCUGCCCUACCGAUGAUGUGUGAGUAGUUUAUCACAGACCUACGUAGCUAGUAGCUAGAUGGCAUUUUCUCCCUCUUUGACCUUCAAUAUAAUGUUCUCCUCGAUAUUCUUGGAGUUCUAUCCGAUGUAAUCUUCUUUUGUGGUGUGUUUGUUGAG
rnacentral:lncRNA from 1 species